rnacentral:rRNA from 1 species
UCCGGUGGCUAUGGCACAAAGGCUACACCUGUUCCCAUACCGAACACAGAAGUUAAGCUUUGUUGCGCCGAUGGUACUUGGUGGGAGACUGCCUGGGAGAGUAGGUCGCCGCCGGUU